rnacentral:lncRNA from 1 species
CAGCCUCUGCAGUUUGGCCUUCUCCUUCCCAAGGGCUACAGACAGUUCUUUCAUGGUCCCCCUCAAGGAUCGAAGCUCGUCGGAGCCUUGAACCGAAACGGCCUGGGCUCUUUCGGACAACUGCUUUUGAAAGCGAGCAACCUCGUCGGUCGCCGUCUUGAGCCUCCUUCUGUAGUUGUCUAUUUGCUCUCACCAGCCGACUCGGUCAGUGUUGUAAUUCGUCUCGAUGUCCUGUAGCUGCUUCUCGAGGUUGGAGAAUUUCUUCAACCAGUCCCAACCGUAGUCAGCC